CGCGCAGGCGGUCGUUCAAGUCGAGUGUGAAAGCCCCCGGCUCAACUGGGGAGGGUCAUUCGAUACUGAUCGACUCGAAGGCAGGAGAGGGUAGUGGAAUUCCCGGUGUAGUGGUGAAAUGCGUAGAUAUCGGGAGGAACACCAGUGGCGAAGGCGACUACCUGGCCUGUUCUUGAGCUGAGGCGCGAAAGCUAGGGGAGCAAACG
rnacentral:rRNA from 1 species